rnacentral:rRNA from 1 species
CAGCCGCCGCGGUAAUACGGAGGGAGCUAGCGUUGUUCGGAAUUACUGGGCGUAAAGCGCGCGUAGGCGGUUACUCAAGUCAGAGGUGAAAGCCCGGGGCUCAACCCCGGAACUGCCUUUGAAACUAGGUGACUAGAAUCUUGGAGAGGUCAGUGGAAUUCCGAGUGUAGAGGUGAAAUUCGUAGAUAUUCGGAAGAACACCAGUGGCGAAGGCGACUGACUGGACAAGUAUUGACGCUGAGGUACGAAAGCAUGGGGAGCAAACAGGAUUAGAUACCCGCGUAGUCCCUGUCUCUUAUAC